CAGGAGUAGUUUGUCUGAUGGUAUUGGGAUCUGCUUUGCAAUUGCCAAGCGCUAAGGCACAAGCUGGCAGAUGUGCUGCGGCUCUGCUACGGGCGGCUCUGUCGCCUUCAGUCGCAGGCUGGUUCUUUGGGGGAAAGUUGUAUCCAAUAUUGGUGACUCCCGGGAAUAGUCUGUUUGUGUGCUACUUAAUGGUCUCUAGGCUUCCUUGUCUUGUAGAACCUUGUUAGAAAGGAGCCUUGGUGAUUAAGAGGCUAUGGAGUACACAGCCUUGCUUAGCAGAUGAGCCCUUAUCCAUUUCCCGUUUCCUUAAAAACGGCUAAUUGAUGGAUGCUGCAGAAAACAUGCACUCUGCUAAUAAGAUGCUGAUGACAAAAUAGGUAUCAGGAAAGGCAUUUACUGCUUAUGAGCACCAUCAGCUUUCUUUCGAGUGAGAUUGUGGCUUUGUAGUAAAGUUUUUUUUUAAGUAAUAUGCUAAUAGUUUUAUUCUAAAUCGGCCAGCGCUGAAUAUCUUCAGGAAAAUGGGUUCCAUGAGAAGUGACAUCCUCCUCGAAUCAAAAGAUUCUCAGGAUGAUGGAGUGAGUGAUGGAAUAGGUUGCCAACUGUAGUUACUCCACUCAGCACAGAAUGGCUGCGGGGAAAUAUAAUCAGACAUGCCCAAAGAAGUCUGCUUAGGGUGAAACAAAUACCUUUGAGGUUUAAAUCAGAAAGGAAGGAGAGACUGUUUCUACAGGUGUCAUACAAAAAUCAAUACUGAGCCAAGGAUUAUUGGAUCCCAUAGAACCACGGAGACUUGGUAGUGAAAUUCUUCCAAAGCAUUCCAUCCGUGCAGGCAGAUGGUGUUCCUAGGUUUGGAAAUAUAAAUCCCAUGGGAAGUCAGCUGAAGACCAUUUUAUGCAUCACUCAUCCUGUUAGAGCCCUGUGCUGUUCUGUCUCUCUAUAAGACUGGCUGAAACCACCACGGUUGUUUACAAUUUAUGCUCUAACUUUGGAUCACCUAGUUAAUACUCUAACUCCGAUUAUUACCAAAGACAAUGUUCUAUAAAAGAUAUUGUCUAUUAGAAGGAUGCUUCUGCAUUAUUAAUAAAAUCACAGGGAAAAUGCAACAUUUUGGAUGUCACAUCUGAUAAGUGGGUGACUGAUCGUACCCGCCAGCUGGCUAAUGUCAUAAUUAACAAAGUUGCUACUACAUCUGCAAAGUUUAAUCGAAAAAUUUGCCAGUGAUAUGAUGGCCUUGUCACAGAGAUCACAAGGGACACGGAGUUGACUUUUGCUCAAGGUGGAACGACAGAGCUGUGUAGGCAAGAUGAGAAAUUGCGAACUUGUUCGGCCAAAGGAGGCUAAUAAUGAAGGGGCCGGGAAGGAGGCCAGUGCUACCAGGGUUAUCUCACAACCUCAGAUGCUGGAUAAGUCGACGGAGGCAGAAUCGCUUUGGGAUGACAUUCAGAAAGCCUGGAGUGAUUACUUGCAAGAGAAAAGCCUACCUAUUCUUUCCAAGGUGCAGGAAUAUUCCCCUGACCUGCUCAUCCAGUGGUCCAGUAAUGAAUUACUGGAGACCUGCCUUAGACAAAGAAUGCACUCGGAGCCCCAACACACCUAAAGCCAUGCUUUGAAGGAUCUGCCAAGCUCACUUUUAAUCAUGAGAAAGAAAUUACCCACACGGAGUCAGCAGAAAAUGAGAAAGUAGAGCUCGUGCUGUGAAUAAUUCCAGCAAGUGCCAAGGGGCUAGUUGAGGAAUGGCUUCAUGAGAACAUGCUCUAGGGGAACUAUUAAUAGCCCACCAGUCGGGUAGGCAGCAUUCAAUCCUUCUAUGCCUUCUUUCGCCACCUGUUGAGGUCUUUCUUCUGAAACAAAGAAGAAAUAGACAAAUCAGACUUGCCCUCUUGGAAAUGUGGUCCAGAUUUCUCUACUCCCAAGCUCCAAAAAAGGUAUACAUUGGAUGGGCUAGAUCAACUCCUCCUGAGAGCCAUAAAUCCGCCAAGAGUUGUUUUCCAUGUAAGGGUGUGGUACAAUGGGGAACACCUGAUGUUGGAGGAAAGCAGGAGGACUUUAGAGUGGAGUUGCAUUCUAAUCUCUCUGCCGCUUCAACUAUGUGACCUGGGGCAAAUGAUAUAAACUCUAUGAGCCUCUUUCCUUAUCUUUAAAAUGAAGAGAAGUAAUACCUACCUUGUAGGGCUGUUGUGAGGAUUAAAUGAAGUAAUGCAUACAGUGCCUAACAAAGUAUUUAACAUCAUAUUUUUUAAAAGCUCAUGAAAUAUUAGUUUUUCUUCCUUCCCCUCUUUCUAUUUUCUCUCCUGUUCCCUUUUCUCUCCCUCCUCUGCCCUCUCCUUCCUUCAGAUGUUAGUCUAAAACAGCACCUUGGAUCUAAGCAGCACCUUUGAGAAAGAAAAGACUGCUUCAAGAAUGUCUAGUUGCACCUCCUUUCCGUAUGUGGCCUAAAUGCCUAGGUUGGAUCAAUAGUUUAAUUUUUUUAUUGAACUGUUUAAUAUUGACUAUGGACUUACAUUCACUUUUACUGUUUUCUGUAUAUUUACUUUUGCUUGAAGUGUUUUAAUAUUGACUAUUUACCUCUGCUCAUUUUUAUUGAUUUUCUGUAUUUUUUCAAUGAAAAUUAUAAUAAAAAUUAUUUUUGUUA
ensembl:lncRNA RMST rhabdomyosarcoma 2 associated transcript